rnacentral:rRNA from 1 species
UACACUCCUGCGGGAGGCAGCAGUGGGGAAUUUUGGACAAUGGGCGAAAGCCUGAUCCAGCAAUGCCGCGUGAGUGAAGAAGGCCUUCGGGUUGUAAAGCUCUUUUGUCAGGGAAGAAACGGUGAAAGCUAAUAUCUUUUGCUAAUGACGGUACCUGAAGAAUAAGCACCGGCUAACUACGUGCCAGCAGCCGCGGUAAUACGUAGGUUGCACGCGUUAAUCGGAAUUACUGGGCGUAAAGCGUGCGCAGGCGGUUUUGUAAGUCUGAUGUGAAAUCCCCGGGCUCAACCUAGGAAUUGCAGUGGAGACUGCAAGGCUAGAGUCUGGCAGAGGGGGGUAGAAUUCCACGUGUAGCAGUGAAAUGCGUAGAUAUGUGGAGGAACACCGAUGGCGAAGGCAGCCCCCUGGGUCAAGAUUGACGCUCAUGCACGAAAGCGUGGGGAGCAAACAGGAUUAGAAACCCGAGUAGUCCC